AUUGGACGCUGGCGGCAGGCCUAACACAUGCAAGUCGAGCGGCAGCGGGUCCUUCGGGAUGCCGGCGAGCGGCGGACGGGUGAGUAAUGCCUAGGAAUCUGCCUGGUAGUGGGGGAUAACGUUCGGAAACGGACGCUAAUACCGCAUACGUCCUACGGGAGAAAGUGGGGGAUCUUCGGACCUCACGCUAUCAGAUGAGCCUAGGUCGGAUUAGCUAGUUGGUGGGGUAAAGGCUCACCAAGGCGACGAUCCGUAACUGGUCUGAGAGGAUGAUCAGUAAAACUGGAACUGAGACACGGGCCAGACUCCUACGGGAGGCAGCAGUGGGGAAUAUUGGACAAUGGGCGAAAGCCUGAUCCAGCCAUGCCGCGUGUGUGAAGAAGGUCUUCGGAUUGUAAAGCACUUUAAGCGAGGAGGAGGCUCUUUUGGUUAAUACCCAGAAUGAGUGGACGUUACUCGCAGAAUAAGCACCGGCUAACUCUGUGCCAGCCGCCGCCGUAACAC
rnacentral:rRNA from 1 species